UACGAAGGGGGCUAGCGUUGCUCGGAAUCACUGGGCGUAAAGGGUGCGUAGGCGGGUCUUUAAGUCAGGGGUGAAAUCCUGGAGCUCAACUCCAGAACUGCCUUUGAUACUGAAGAUCUUGAGUUCGGGAGAGGUGAGUGGAAACUGCGAGUGUAGAGGUGAAAUUCGUAGAUAUUCGCAAGAACACCAGUGGCGAAGGCGGCUCACUGGCCCGAUACUGACGCUGAGGCACGAAAGCGUGGGGAAGCAAACAGGG
rnacentral:rRNA from 1 species